GAUGAACGCUGGCGGCGUGCCUAAUACAUGCAAGUCGAGCGAAUGGAUUAAGAGCUUGCUCUUAUGAAGUUAGCGGCGGACGGGUGAGUAACACGUGGGUAACCUGCCCAUAAGACUGGGAUAACUCCGGGAAACCGGGGCUAAUACCGGAUAACAUUUUGAACCGCACGGUUCGAAAUUGAAAGGCGGCUUCGGCUGUCACUUAUGGAUGGACCCGCGUCGCAUUAGCUAGUUGGUGAGGUAACGUCUCACCAAGGCAACGAUGCGUAGCCGACCCGAGAGGGUGAUCGGCCACACUGGGACUGAGACACGGCCCAGACUCCUACGGGAGGCAGCAGUAGGGAAUCUUCCGCAAUGGACGAAAGUCUGACGGAGCAACGCCGCGUGAGUGAUGAAGGCUUUCGGGUCGUAAAACUCUGUUGUUAGGGAAGAACAAGUGCUAGUUGAAUAAGCUGACACCUUGACGGUACCUAACCAGAAAGCCACGGCUAACUACGUGCCAGCCGCCGCCGUAA
rnacentral:rRNA from 1 species